CCUACGGGAGGCAGCAGUGAGGAAUAUUGGUCAAUGGGCGUAAGCCUGAACAAGCCAAGUCGCGUGAGGGAUGAAGGUUCUAUGGAUCGUAAACCUCUUUUAUAAGGGCAUAAAGUGUGGGACGUGUCCUAUUUUGUAUGUACCUUAUGCAUAUGGAUCGGCUAACUCUGUGCCAGCAGCCGCGGUAAUCCGAGGGAUCCGAGCGUUAUCCGGUUUUAUUGGGUUUAAAGGGUGCGUAGGCGGCCUUUUAAGUCAGCGGUGAAAGUCUGUGGCUCAACCAUAGAAUUGCCGUUGAAACUGGGGGGCUUGAGUAUGUUUGAGGCAGGCGGAAUGCGUGGUGUAGCGGUGAAAUGCUUAGAUAUCACGCAGAACCCCGAUUGCGAAGGCAGCCUGCCAAGCCAUGACUGACGCUGAUGCACGAAAGCGUGGGGAUCAAACAGGAUUAGAUACCCUUGUAGUC
rnacentral:rRNA from 1 species